GAGCUAAAGAACCUACCAGCUACACGUAUCUCACCCUUCUCCCAUACACCCCGUUGAAAGCCAGCAAACGCGCGCCGUGCCCCACGCUUCAUCACACUUCACACCUCACGCGCGUACGCCUGUGUGCUUCGUCCCCCUCGCCGGCGACCCACCCAUCCACUGAUGGCAGCGACGGCCGCCGCUAGGGGCGCCGCUUCUCGCUCCCCUCUCCUCCUCCACCACCACCGACUCCCUCAGGUUCCAGCCGGUGGGGGAGGUUCGCUGAGGGUGGGCGCGCUCGGGGCAGGACGGGAUUGGAGACGACGGGUCCGGGUUCGGGUCGGGGUUAGGGUUUUCGCGCGCUACUCCUCCCAGUCACAAGACUUCUCCAGUCGACUCCAAGAUAGAGCUGGCGAAUUGCCGAAAUUAGUCGAGGAUCUUCUCCAGACGUCGAUUAGCACAGGGCCUCGAGGUGCCUUUAGGAUGGCGCAAGGGAUCCAAGCUCUCCUUGGGGUUGGUGGGGAGUGGCUAAACGACUUCUCGAAGACAGCUAACACGUCAGAAGGAAUUCCAGCUCAGAUGCGGCUUGGUUUGCUUUCCCCUCUUUAUCUCAGAAGGCUUUUUGAACGCAUGGGUGCAACUUAUAUAAAGCUAGGUCAGUUCAUAGCGUCUGCACCAACUUUCUUUCCUGCAGAAUAUGUUGAAGAAUUCCAGAACUGUUUUGACCGAGCACCACCUGUUCCUUAUAGCGAGAUCGAGUCGAUAUUGCAUGAGGAGUUGCAGCGGCCAUUGGAUAGUGUUUAUGAGUACAUUGAUCCCGUGCCAAUAGCAUCUGCUUCAAUAGCACAGGUUCAUGGGGCUAGGUUGAAGAGCUCUCAGAAGGAUGUGGUAAUUAAAGUCCUGAAACCUGGAAUUGAAGAUACUUUGGUUGCCGAUCUGAAUUUUAUCUAUCUUGUUGCACGUGUUUUGGAGUUUCUAAGCCCUGAAUUAGAGAGGACAUCACUGGUAGCUAUCAUCAAGGACAUAAAGGAAUCAAUGCUUGAGGAAGUUGAUUUUAGAAAGGAGGCUGUAAAUAUGGAGGCUUUCCAGAGAUACAUCGAAGCAAUGGGAUUUGAUAGGCAGGCCAAAUCUCCAUUUGUAUAUCACCACUGUAGCACAAAGCGUGUCUUAACUAUGGAAAGAUUGUAUGGUGUUCCACUCACCGAUCUUGAUUCUAUAAGGUCUCUUGUUCCUGAUCCUGAGUUGACUUUAGUCACUGCGCUCAAUGUCUGGUUUGGAAGCUUGAUCUCAUGUGAAUCCUUCCAUGCGGAUGUGCAUGCAGGAAACCUAUGGUUGCUUCGUGAUGGACGUGUUGGAUUUAUUGAUUUUGGAAUUGUUGGUCGAAUAUCCCCAAGGACUUGGGCUGCUAUGGAGAUCUUUUUGGCUUCUUUCGCAACUGAGGAUUACAAUGCUAUGGCAUCAGCCCUUUCCGAAAUGGGUGCUACAGGGAAUGAUAUAGAUGUUGACUCCUUUGCAAAGGACUUGCAAAAGAUAUUCUCAUCGUUACAGGAGCUGGACACUGAAAUUAUAGUGGCAGCUGCAAGAAGUUCUGAUGCUACAGCUGUAUCUGCUAAUGUUGUUGUAGACGAGAGGCAGAUGAAUGCACUGUUUCUUGAUCUGGUAAGGGUUAGCGAGUCAUAUGGGCUGAAAUUUCCUAGGGAAUUCGCUCUUCUCAUGAAGCAGCUUCUUUAUUUUGACCGGUACACAAGACUGCUGGCUCCCAGCAUGAACAUGCUGCGAGAUGAGAGGAUUAACAUUACUUCCAACAAGCAGACAAGAAGAAUGAAUUGAUUCUAUCUUCCAUCAUCGGAGGAAUUGGUGCAAGACAUGGACAAGUGACAUUGUGAAUGAGACCAAAUUAUAUCUCAUCUAAAUGAGUUCUAGGCACUCCCUAAGAAGAAACAUAACACUGGCUCCUGUUGUGGUACUUAGGCAUCUUGGAGCGGAAAUUGCUUUUGGAUCUCAGGCUCCAUGGAGACUGGAAUUUGAAAAUUAUAAAAUCAUAGUUUCAAGUUCAAAAAAUUUCUGAAAACAUACACACCUACAAUGGGAUGUAUACUACUGCUCUGUUCACUUAUA